CGAAAGAUGGUGAACUAUGCCUGGCCAGGAUGAAGCCAGAGGAAACUCUGGUGGAGGUCCYSAGCGAUUCUGACGUGCAAAUCGAUUGUCAGAGCUGGGUAUAGGGGCGAAAGACUAAUCGAACCAUCUAGUAGCUGGUUCCCUCCGAAGUUUCCCUCAGGAUAGCUGGURCUCAKWAUURMUGAAUUCCAUCCGGUAAAGCGAAUGAUUAGAGGUCUUGGGGACGAAACGUCCUCAACCUAUUCUCAAACUUUAAAUGGGUGURAAUGYCAWGCUUGCUURAACAUUAUGCUACAAACGAGUUGAGGAGCCGUAAAAAAGUUCCGCAUAUGAGUUUGCAUUUUGAAGCUAUGGCUUAUAAAAAAUCAAGAGUACCAAGUGGGCCACUUUU
rnacentral:rRNA from 1 species